rnacentral:rRNA from 11 species
CCACCUGACCCCAUGCCGAACUCAGAAGUGAAACGCCGUAGCGCCGAUGGUAGUGUGGGGUCUCCCCAUGCGAGAGUAGGGAACUGCCAGGCA